rnacentral:sRNA from 1 species
CGUCAGGUCCCAAAUAUGAGCCGCGAGAAACGCAGCCCCGGGGAAGGCGCUGAGGAGGGAAGGGGGUCUGAGGCCUCGGGGCUCAAGGCCAGUGCGGGGAAUCGCCGUGCUCAGGAGGACUCGGGAGCAAGCCCGGGGACAGGAGGUGCGCAGGCGUUGGGGCCACACGGACGACCCAAACACAAGACUGUGUGCCCCUUAGAGAGGCAAAGGGAUCCCUGUGCCAUGAAUUAAAGCUUUCUGGAAAAUGUUCCAAACUU